GUGCUUGCAUUAGCAGCACAUAAACUAAAAUUGGAAUGAGAAGAUUAGCAUGACCCCUUCGCAAGGAUGGCAUGCAAAUUUUGAUAGUGUUCUCUAUAUUUU